CCCGACCGAAGCCUCUCCGGCCUGUGACCUCGCCCACCCGACUCCUCCCACCUUCUGUAACCCUAGCCACCGGCCACAGCAGGGCGCGCCGCCUCUAGGCUCGGGAGGCCACGGAGGACGAUAGCGUUGUCGUGGCCAGCCUUGCUGGUGGCUGGCCACGCGGCGACGGCGCACCGCCUAUCCGCAUUCUCGCCCCACCCCACAUCAUUGACCUUGCCAUUCGCGCCCUCGCCGUCGACCCCGAGCGAGUGAACCACCCCCCGCUCCAUCGCUCCCCCGGUGUAAUCUCUCUCUCUCUCUGGCGACGACUAGGCCACCCCACGGAACCCUUAUGCCCCAGCAUCUAAGUCUUCGUUGGGCAUUUUGCCGUUGAUGAGCACCCACAAGAUCCAAAAUUAAUGCUUCAUUCCACGAGGACAAAUCCCUAGGUUUUGUGAUAUUUUUAGUGUGUGGAGCUGAUACCAAUAUGCCAUCGAUUCCAUCUCAGCACUAGCAAAGGUGAUUCAUCUCUUCUCAUGAGCUUUGUUCAUUUGUAGAAGUACAAGUGCAGAUACUAGUUAAUUUCUGCCAGCUCCAGAGUCUAGACCUGAUACAAGUAUGUCAAUGACUCCAUCUCAGCACUAGGCAAGAUGUUUUGAAUGAUGCAUUAUAUAUUUUACAACAUGGAGUGUUUGGAAAAAUAAAUAACCUCCAUCUUGGACACUCUCAUGAGGACUAUAUAGCACCAAUAACUCAGACGCAUUCCAUAUUCUCUGUUGCGGUUUUAUUUCUUAUUCUUUGUAUUCCCAACUAUGACAUUCUCCUGUCCUCUUUAGGGUAAAGGGAUUGAUGAGGUAUGCUGGUUUACUCACAAUUGCCAUUGUCACAUAUAUCUUGGUAAAUUUCUCAUCUUGUUUGAUUUCGAGCUUUGGCAAGCACAUGGAUCUUAGCGGUGAUUAAUAAACUAAACAAACAUGUAUUGAAGCUCUUCUCUGAUUUCUUGUAACUCUUUCAGUGCAUUGAUGUACAGGAGUUCUGGAUUUGAGGUACAUUAUUUGUUCUAUUAGAAAGAGCCUCCAUUACUCUGUACCUAGCGGCCUGAGCAUGAGUCUAUUGCAACAGAUUUUUGUCAAGCCAGAGCACAUAUAAAUAUUGAGAAAACAUCAUAUAUGUACAUGUCAGCUUUUGAAUCUUUUUUGUUACAAUAAAAUCUCAAUCCAUCGGACUUACUUACAUGUAUGAGUCAGACCUGUUCAUAGCAUGUUCUUACUGGAAGCAUUUUUUUGUAUGUUGCAUUGACAUGACAUUUGAUAACAGUGAAGCCUCCCUGUUUUUGUCAGGAAGAAUAAUCUAUACAAGCCUAAUAACUUCCUUUUUGCAAAAAAAAAAAUAUUGGGCUACCUAACUGGGUUUGUGGUAUUUGUUUUCAGUACCGAUUUACUUAUUAGGGACAUAGAGGUGAAGAGAAGAAUUUGACAAUGAGGAACAUAUGCACCCUAGAUGGUUGCAUCUUCUAGGUCGAUUAUGCCAUCAAGGCCAUCGGCAACAACGGGUUAUAUUCCACUUUUUCUUCACUUAUUCCUAUUUUUCUAUUACAUGUAAUCUUAUCGGUGACGCAAUAGUAUUUGUCAAAAGGACAAUUGUUGGAUCAAACACAAAGAUGGCAUUGUCCUGGUUGCCGAGAAGCUGGUAACCUCAAAGAUGUUGCUGGAAAGGUCAAACUGGAGGAUCCAUUCAGUGCAUCGGCGCUCUGGGUUGGUAACACCUUUCAAGUGACUCGAAAUUGAUAGUUGUUUUG